ACGACGCUUAAAUGUCGCCGUUGCGAAUCGCUCCAUUAAAUCAUCGCUACAUAGAAGCACCUUAAAAUACAAGGACAAAGUUAACCGUGCUUUUGACAAAUAAACGUAUAUGGAGCGGUAUCCGGGGUAACCAGCGUAAAUAAACAUUCAUUUUAGAUUCCUUUGUGCAUUAUAAGCGUUAUAAAAUUUCUUUCGGGAAAUUUUUAAGGUUUAUUUUGUGCUUAUUUUGAGGAAUAUUAAUUAUUUCGAAGUUAUAUUAAUCGGUUUUAGUUAUAAGUUUGUUUGUUUGUCAUUUUUAGGUAAGUGAUUUGGAGGCGUAAGCAGUUAAGUUUUAUUGUGCUGGCUGGCGAUUGCUUUCUUUAAAGUGCAUAAACAAGCAGUGUUUUGACAGAUUUGGCUCAUUGAAUGUUUUAGAUUUUGUUUCGCCCAGUUAGUUUUAUUCUACAAAAUCAAAUAUUCUCAAGCAGACAACACUUAUUAAACUGAUUAGAUCUAAAAGUGCUGUGCUCCAUUGACAAAACAAGCAAGUAAGCAAGGUUUUUGGAAAAAUUUUACUCAUUGCAUCCUAUAGUAUUUGUCUUUCAUAGUUCCGAUCUACAAAAGCAAAGAUGCCAAAAAUGAGUAAGAAGUCUGCUAAAACAACAAGACUCCAGAAUAAAGAAAAAUAUAUGUCCAACAAGAUGGUAAAUAAAGACAGUGGUGACAAAAAGGAAAACUUAGAAAUUCCUGGUAAGCCUAUAAAUUUGCAACAAAAGUUGCCCAAAGAUAUGGUUCCAGAGGAUAGUAC